rnacentral:rRNA from 1 species
GAUGAACGCUAGCGGGAGGCCUAACACAUGCAAGCCGAGCGGUAGAGUUUCUUCGGAAACUUGAGAGCGGCGCACGGGUGCGUAACACGUGUGCAACCUACCUUUAUCUGGGGGAUAGCCUUUCGAAAGGAAGAUUAAUACCCCAUAAUAUAAUGAUUGGCAUCAAUUAUUAUUGAAAACUCCGGUGGAUAGAGAUGGGCACGCGCAAGAUUAGAUAGUUGGUGAGGUAACGGCUCACCAAGUCAAUGAUCUUUAGGGGUCCUGAGAGGGAGAUCCCCCACACUGGUACUGAGACACGGACCAGACUCCUACGGGAGGCAGCAGUGAGGAAUAUUGAACAAUGGGUGAGAGCCUGAUCCAGCCAUCCCGCGUGAAGGAUGACGGUCCUAUGGAUUGUAAACUACUUUUGUACAGGGAUAAACCUACCCUCGUGAGGGUAGCUGAAGGUACUGUACGAAUAAGCACCGGCUAACUCCGUG